rnacentral:rRNA from 2 species
CGCGAAACCUUUACAAUGCACGAAAGUGUGAUAAGGCAACUCCUUGUGCUUAUCCAAAAGAUAGGCUUUUUAGUAUGUAAUGUAUACUAAGAAUAAGUGAUGGGCAAGACCGGUGCCAGCAGCCGCGGUAAUACCGGCGUCACAAGUGGAGAUCACGAUUACUGGGUCUAAAGUGUCCGUAGCUGGUUUAUUAAGUCUCUUGUGAAAUUUCUGUUGCUUAACUCAGAAACUGCAAGAGAUACUGGUAAACUCGAGACCGGAAGAGGUAACAAGUAUUGUUUGGGUAGCGGUAAAAUGCUAUAAUCCUUACAAGACUAACUAAGGCGAAGGCAUGUUACUUGGACGGAUCUGACAGUGA